rnacentral:rRNA from 1 species
GAUGAACGCUGGCGGCGUGCCUAAUACAUGCAAGUCGAGCGAACAGACGAGGAGCUUGCUCCUCUGACGUUAGCGGCGGACGGGUGAGUAACACGUGGAUAACCUACCUAUAUGACUGGGAUAACUUCGGGAAACCGGAGCUAAUACCGGAUAAUAUAUUGAACCGCAUGGUUCAAUAGUGAAAGACGGUUUUGCUGUCACUUAUAGAUGGAUCCGCGCCGCAUUAGCUAGUUGGUAAGGUAACGGCUUACCAAGGCAACGAUGCGUAGCCGACCUGAGAGGGUGAUCGGCCACACUGGAACUGAGACACGGUCCAGACUCCUACGGGAGGCAGCAGUAGGGAAUCUUCCGCAAUGGGCGAAAGCCUGACGGAGCAACGCCGCGUGAGUGAUGAAGGUCUUCGGAUCGUAAAACUCUGUUAUUAGGGAAGAACAAAUGUGUAAGUAACUAUGCACGUCUUGACGGUACCUAAUCAGAAAGCCACGGCUAACUUCGUG